rnacentral:rRNA from 1 species
GGACUACACGGGUAUCUAAUCCCGUUCGCUACCCUAGCUUUCGUGCCUCAGCGUCAGAAAAGACCCAGUGAGCCGCUUUCGCCACGGGUGUUCCUUAGGAUAUCAACGCAUUUCACCGCUCCACCCUAAGUUCCGCUCACCUCUGUCUUCCUCGAGCACAGUAGUUUUGGGCGCAGUUCCUCGGUUGAGCCGAGGGAUUUCACACCCAACUUUCUGCGCAGCCUACGCACCCUUUAAGCCCAGUAAUUCCGAAUAACGUUUGUGUGGUUCGUCUUACCGCGGCGGCUGGCAC